AUUGCAGGAAUUCCACAAGCAGGGCUGCCCAACCCCUCUACUCGCCCCUCGGCUCCGUGCCGCUUCCCGCCCGGCGGCUCUGAGGUGCCGCCGCGAGGCGUCCCGCGCCUGGGCGCGAGGCUGAGGCGCCGCUGUGUGAGGAGCUAUCCGCCGUGUCCGGGAUGCUGUGCUGAAGCACGGCUGCAGACAGUGCUCCUUAUGGGUGCACAGAAAAAUCAACUCCUUAAUCUGGCCCAGGUCUGUGUGAGCGCUUACGUGGUACUAUUGAGAAGAAGGAACAAGAAGAUGAAUGAGGCAGGACUGCAUCUUUAAUGCACUAAUUUUUGUGUUACUUCAUUGACAACUGCAGUGAAAUGAAAUGCAUCUUAAGGAUGACUAGUGGACUAACUUACUGUGGGGAAGGAUCAGUGGAAAAUUCUUGUCUACUCUAUAUUGUUUUCUGAUUUUGAAGUAUUUUAAUGGAAUCAAUGCAAAAUGUAAACGUGAAGAUCAUUUCUUACUUUCAUUCACUACAAAAGACACAGCUGCCACACGCUAGUCUGUCAGUGGAUUAAGUGUAACAUACUGCAUCUAUGAAACACAGAGAAAAUCAAGUUCCUAAAAGUCCCUGACAGUCAGAGUGCUAUGUAUUUCAGGUGUUCAAUGACUGUGUGAAUAAGUAUGGAGUAUGGAGAGUAUGAGUGUGGGAUCAGGGAAAAGGGUUCUUAGAGCCUACCACCUCUUCUGAGUAGAAAAAGGAAGACCUACUUUUUAAGUUAACCUCCUCUCUAUAUACCUGUAUGUACUUUCUAUAUACCUGUAUAUAACUCUCUAUAUAUGCUCUCUCUCUGAGUCUUUCCUCUACCCUGCAAGUGACCCAUCUGUUUUCC
rnacentral:lncRNA from 1 species